UGGCAUUCGGAGAGAGUCAGAUAACAAUGACCUAUUGAAUUCAACAUUUCAUUUAUGACAGUACUUUAAACCAAAUAAACAUCAAAUCGACUUUUCUAAACAAGUGCCAAAUGACAGGGAGGUGAGGAAACGCAAUGUAAGGCAAAAUGUAAAGCAUCUUGCUUUCACCAUGGCAGUCAUGCAGUAUCUGCCAAAGUCCUAGAUGGAAGCAAGAAACAAUGACAAUACUCGAUAAAAGAAAAGGUAAAGAAUCAGAUUCAUUGCCUCGUACUAUAAUUGGUUGACCAGUUGCAUGAGCUAACCAAUCAGCAUCUCUCUUAUGCAAUAGCAGGCAUGUCCUUGAGCCAUGCAUCCAGUGGCUUACCGAUUGAGUACACAAUGAAUCCAAUCCCCCUCAGCUCGUCCGCAUUCACUACAUUCCUUCCAUCGAACACAAAAGCUGGUUU
rnacentral:lncRNA from 1 species